rnacentral:rRNA from 1 species
AGAGUUUGAUCGUGGCUCAGAACGAACGUUGGCGGCGUGGAUUAGGCAUGCAAGUCGAGCGAAUCCCUGUCGAAUGAUCCUUCGGGUGAUUUUGGCAGGGGAAAGCGGCGAAAGGGGCAGUAAUGCGUGGGCAACCUACCCUGGGGUCGGGGAUAGCCAUCCUAACGGAUGGGUAAUACCCGGCGUUAUAGACCGGGGGCAUCUCCGGUCUAUGAAAGAUUUAUCGCCUCGGGAGGGGCUCACGUGGUAUUAGCUUGUUGGUGAGGUAACGGCUCACCAAGGCGUAGAUGCCUAGCUGGUGUGAGAGCAUGACCAGCGCCACUGGGACUGAGACACUGCCCAGACUCCUACGGGAGGCUGCAGUCGAGAAUCUUCCGCAAUGGACGAAAGUCUGACGGAGCGACGCCGCGUGCGGGACGAAGGCCUUCGGGUUGUAAACCGCUGUCAGGGGGAAACAAUCACUGAGUGAUCCCCAGAGGAAGCACGGGCUAAGUUCGUGCCAGCAGCCGCGGUAAGACGAACCGUGCGAACGUUGUUCGGAAUCACUGGGCUUAAAGGGCGCGUAGGCGGCUAGCCAAGUCAGAGGUGAAAGCCUCCGGCUCAACCGGAGAAGUGCCUUUGAAACUGGCUAGCUCGAGGGAGGUAGGGGCAGAUGGAACUUCCAGUGGAGCGGUGAAAUGUGUAGAGAUUGGAAGGAACGCCGGUGGCGAAAGCGAUCUGCUGGACCUCUUCUGACGCUGAGGCGCGAAAGCUAGGGUAGCGAACGGGAUUAGAUACCCCGGUAGUCCUAGCCCUAAACGAUGGGCACUGAGUAGUGGGUUCAUAUGGACUCACUGCUGUAGCGAAAGCGUUAAGUAUCCCGCCUGGGGAGUAUGGCCGCAAGGCUGAAACUCAAAGGAAUUGACGGGGGCUCACACCAGCGGUGGAGCAUGUGGCUUAAUUCGAGGCUACGCGAAGAACCUUAUCCUGGGCUUGACAUGCACGAAAGCGCUGGGAAGUAGGCGGCGGAAACGUUUGCCAAACGGUAUCCAAUCCGGAACCCAGUACAGGUGCUGCAUGGCUGUCGUCAGCUCGUGUCGUGAGAUGUCGGGUUAAGUCCCAUAACGAGCGAAACCCUUGUCUUCAGUUGCCAGCGAGUAAUGUCGGGGACUCUGGAGAGACUGCCGGUGUUAAACCGGAGGAAGGUGGGGAUGACGUCAAGUCCUCAUGGCCUUUAUGCCUAGGGCUGCACACGUGCUACAAUGGCGUGAACAAAGGGAAGCAAUCCUGCGAAGGGGAGCAAAUCCAAAAAACUCGUCUAAGUUCGGAUUGGAGUCUGCAAUUCGACUCCAUGAAGUUGAAAUCGCUAGUAAUCGCGUAUCAGAACGACGCGGUGAAUACGUUCUCGGACCUUGUACACACCGCCCGUCACACCACGAAAAUCGUCUGUACCCGAAAUUGUUUUAGCUAACCGGAAACGGAGGCGGAUGAUGAAGGUACGGGGGGUAAUUGGGGUGAAGUCGUAACAAGGUAGCUG